rnacentral:misc_RNA from 1 species
AACGCACAUUGCACUGUUUGGAACUCCAGGCAGUAUGUCUGUUUGAGUAUCAGUAUUCAACCUCAACCGCAAAGCAUCUCAUGUGGAUGACUUUGUGAGUUGGACUUGAGCCAUUGACUUGGAUGUUUCUCGGCAUCCACUUUGGUCACGGCUUGAAAUGAAAGAAGCUGGUUUCAACACACCAAAGCUGACAGAGCUAGUCUAUCUUUAUGUAGACGCGACUGUCUAGUUUGAGUUGUUAACCUUCUACCGGGGAACGUUUCUCCUCAUGGGAGACACUGCACCUCUGAACUUUGAUCUCAAAUCAGACAAGAGUACCCGCUGAACUUAA